GGCCUAGAAUUCAUAGCCCCAUUCUCUUGAUCUGAGUUGCUUCUGGGGGAUGAGCGUGGCACCACAGCGUCUCAGGUGCUAUAUAGGGGACUUCCCAAGAGUUGCCCGUAUCGGUUGUAAGGUGCUGUCUACAUGAGGGGAUGGUUUUAUGAAUACACAAGGGAGAGUUACCAGCAGAGUGAUGGCGAAAGCUUUGAGCUAGAUGGUUUUCAUCUUCCUGAAACAUCGCCCUAGGGUUUUCCUGAUGUUUCCAUCAAUCUGUUAAGUGCAGUGUGUGGUCGUGUCCCUCAGGGACUUUCCCAUUUACUCUGGAAGACCAAACUUAUAGGCUACACUCUGGGUGCAGACAGUGCUAGUCCUGUGGGGAGUUGGGAAAAAGGAGUGGGAGGCUUUGUGGCCGAGGAGGGGCUUCAGGGCAGCAAGGAUGACGGCUGGGUUUGAACAGUCAGUGGAGAAGGAAGUGUGGAAAGGCCAGAGAAGUAGACAUGGAUGUGUGCAUGCCAGAGAGGGCAGGCAGACAGGGUUCAUGGAGGGGGCAGAAGCAGCACAUUGACCUCUGCUUCUGCCAGAAGAUCAGAGGGGAUAUCGGGGGGGUGGUCUGGCCAGAGUAAGGGCAGCCUUGAAGCCCCGAUGGAAUAAUUUUGACUUGAUUCUAUGGAAAAUGACAUACGACAGUGUAGGAGGGCUUGUCUUCUAACUGAAACCAGCUGGGAAUCUUUCCCAGUAGAGUCAAGGGCAGGGCAGAGCGAGGGCCUUUGGCAGCAUGUGCAAAUGUACAUGCAUGUAACCAUUGUGUGUGGCCCACCAUGCUUUUAAACCUACCUUUACCUCCUCUAGUUCUUCAUAUCUCUUAACCCUCUUGUCUGUGAGCAUCAACAAUCCGGGGCUUACACAGACAACACCACAGUGUGCCAUCUUGCCAGAAGGAGAAACUGAGGCACUCUAUUCUAAAGAGGCUGGUUCUAGGACCUGCCCUUGAAUCACUGUGGAGUAAGACCCAGAGUGUGGGCUGCCAGGCCCCUUCCUUCAGGGAUCUGGCUUCUAAAGUUGGUUCUUUUCCUGUAUCUCAUAAAGAGGGAAAGGAUGGGCCUAAGAGAGGUUAUUUGGACAAAUGGCCAUUGUAAUUGCCUCCUAUCAGACACAGGUGGAUAGAGGCAGGUGUGGGGAAGAGGGCUGCCUGGAUCUGGGAUUCCCAAUCCCCCAUACUCCUUGGCCUAUUGUUGAGGGGGAGCUAGAGGAGGGGUGCGGACUUAGCAGGUUAAGAAAGAUAAACGCUUACUCUUUAACAGUGGGAAAGAGGGACGGAAGAGUAAGAUUGAAAUCUGAGGCAAGAGGAGUGGCCUAACCUGGUGGAGGCAGGAGAGGCGCGUGUCCUCUACAUGCCCGUCCAAGUCCCUGGUAGGUUCGUCCUUGCUCUGAGGGAAGAGUGUGGGCCACAGGCCAUGGGGACACUCUGAGGAUGUGGGUGCUGCCCAUCUUGAAGUUUCUCCCCACCCCUCUCCGGAGCUGCUACCAUUGUCCUUUGCCCUCGGAGUGCUCUCCUCCCACCCCCGCCGCCUCUUGUUCUCUUUCUCCCUUGAGCCGUUAGAAUGGCAGGGAGCCCAGCCAGGGCCUGGACGGCGGCCUCAGCUCCCUGUUCUCAAUAAUUGUGUGUGUGUGCAUGUGUGCAUGUGUACGUGUGAGUGCCUGUGUGUGUGCAUUGUGUGUAGGGGCUGGGGCUGGAGUCGACAACAGAUCAGAGCACAGGAGUAGAGCGCUUCUGGGAGGGUGGGGCCACCCGUGAGUCACGUCCUGCACCCUGGAGCCCAGAGGACCCUUCGCUCAAACCCACCACCAGCUGGCAACACCGGACCAGACCAGCCGGAGCCGCUUUCUUCGCUGCGCAGAGGAGCCUGGGAGAAGCCAGAGGUUAGCCACAUCCAUGUCUCUUGUACCCUGCAAUCUGGAGGCCACUGCCAGAAGCUGGAAAUCUCAAGUAGAGCAGCAAAAGGCUUGAGGAUGGAUUCUUGGCUCCUGGUGCAUUGCCACUCCCUGCCACCCUCCUCCUUGUCUUCUAUCUUCUCCUGGUGGCGUCAGGCCUUGCUUCGUGUCCCAACAGGAGCCUCUGGGGCUGGCACAGCCCUCACUGCCUACAACCUGGGCCUGGUGGUUCUCCUAGGGUGCCUCUGGGAGGUCAUGGUCACCCCGCUGCUGGCUAACUGCAGCUACUUCUGCCAGCCAGUGGACUACAGAUGGAGAAAGCAUGGAAUGAGGGCAUCUUCCUGGAGACAGGAAGGUAGGCACUGUGGAAUCAGCGGUGCGUAGAACAGUGAGGAUUUGGGGCUGAACCCAGCCCAGGUGGGCCAAGCCGUGGCACCAGCCGGACUGCAGUCUGAUGGAACUUCCCCUUCCUGCCCAGCAGAUGGCGAGCGUGUGCUGCUGGUGCCUCUUUCCAAAGGACGUUGAAUUGCUUGACAGGUGUUCUUUACUUUAUGAAUGAAGCCAGAGCAGCCCACCUUCCUGCAUCUCUACCACCAUGGCACCAUGCCCUGUGAUGGGUGGGCUGGAGUCAAAUAUGUAGCAGGCAGCCAGGGUCAGUUUGUGGCCACUGCUGCCCCCUCUUCCUACAGUCUCCUCACUGAGUGCCCCUUCCCUGUUGGGUUCAACACAUCUGUGCUCCUGUAAGCCCUCAGCCUCCUCGUUCUCUUCCUCAACUUCUACCACCAGACACAUCUGAGAAGCAAGCAAGAGAGGCUGAACUAGGAGCAGGACCCAGGGACUGAAACCAGCACAGCAUCCCCACAGAGAAUUGGGUGGAAGGCAGCAUGGCUUCCAGCUUACUGGUGCUGAGCAGAUUGCUCUGGGUCUCCAUUGUAUCCUCUGAAGGAAGGAGGAGGAUUGCCUUCUGUCCAGAUCUCAGGAUCAAACAAAUAGGUCCAAUUUCCUGUGCUCACUUCAGUUAGAGCACUUCUCAUGUGACUUUGUAGCUUUGUGUGCAUCUCCUUCCUCUACUAGACCUAAGCCCCUCACGGGAGGGACUCUCUUAUUCUU
ensembl:lncRNA novel transcript, sense overlapping KCNA1